rnacentral:rRNA from 1 species
UACCGAGGUCUCGAGCGUUAGGCGGAAUCACUGGGCUUAAAGCGUGUGUAGGCGGAUCGUUAAGUACCUUGUGAAAUCCCACGGCUUAACCGUGGAAUUGCUGGGUAUACUGGCGGUCUUGAGCCACUUAGGGGCUACCGGAACAAAUGGUGGAGCGGUGAAAUGCGUAGAUAUCAUUUGGAACGCCAAUGGUGAAAACAGGUAGCUGGGAGUGUGCUGACGCUGAGACACGAAAGCCAGGGGAGCAAACGGG